rnacentral:rRNA from 1 species
CAGUAGCCACGGUAAUACGGAGGGUGCAAGCGUUAAUCGGAAUUACUGGGCGUAAAGCGCACGCAGGCGGUCUGUCAAGUCGGAUGUGAAAUCCCCGGGCUCAACCUGGGAACUGCAUUCGAAACUGGCAGGCUAGAGUCUUGUAGAGGGGGGUAGAAUUCCAGGUGUAGCGGUGAAAUGCGUAGAGAUCUGGAGGAAUACCGGUGGCGAAGGCGGCCCCCUGGACAAAGACUGACGCUCAGGUGCGAAAGCGUGGGGAGCAAACAGGAUUAGAUACCCGUGUAGUCCCUGUCUCUUGUAC